AAAUUCCUACGGGAGGCAGCAGUAGGGAAUUUUCGGCAAUGGAGGAAACUCUGACCGAGCAACGCCGCGUGAACGACGAAGUACUUUGGUAUGUAAAGUUCUUUUAUCAAGGAAGAAAAGCAAGUGGUGAACCAUUUGUUUGCCGGUACUUGAUGAAUAAGCCCCGGCUAAUUAUGUGCCAGCAGCCGCGGUAAGACAUAAGGGGCAAGUGUUAUCCGGAAUUAUUGGGCGUAAAGGGUGCGUAGGCGGUCUAGUAAGUCAGUGGUGUAAUGGCAACGCUCAACGUUGUCCGGCUAUUGAAACUGCUAAACUUGAGUUAGAUAGAGGCGAGUGGAAUUCCAUGUGUAGCGGUAAAAUGCGUAAAUAUAUGGAGGAACACCAGAGGCGUAGGCGGCUCGCUGGGUCUUAACUGACGCUGAGGCACGAAAGCGUGGGGAGCAAACAGGAUUAGAUACCCUGGUAGUCCACGCCGUAAACGAUGAGUACUAAGUGUCGGGUUAAACCGGUACUGAAGUUAACACAUUAAGUACUCCGCCUGAGUAGUACGUACGCAAGUAUGAAACUUAAAGGAAUUGACGGGACUCCGCACAAGCGGUGGAUCAUGUUGUUUAAUUCGAAGAUACCCGAAAAACCUUACCAGGUCUUGACAUGUUUUUGCGAAACGGUAGUAAUAUCGUGGAGGUUAUCAGAAACACAGGUGGUGCAUGGUUGUCGUCAGCUCGUGUCGUGAGAUGUUAGGUUAAGUCCUAAAACGAGCGAAACCCUUAUCGUUAGUUGCCAGCACGUUAUGGUGGGGACUUUAACGAGACUGCCAGUGAUAAAUUGGAGGAAGGUGAGGAUCACGUCAAAUCAGCAUGCCCCUUAUGACCUGGGCUACAAACGUGAUACAAUGGCUGUUACAAAGGGUAGCUGAAACGCAAGUUCUUGGCCAAUCCCCAAAAACAGUCUCAGUCCGGAUUGAAGUCUGCAACUCGACUUCAUGAAGUUGGAAUCGCUAGUAAUCGCGAAUCAGCAUGUCGCGGUGAAUACGUUCUCGGGGUUUGUACACACCGCCCGUCAAACCACGAAAGUUGGCAAUACCCCAAAACGGUAGCCUAACUCGUUUAUCGAGAGGGCGCUGUCUAAGGUAGGGUCGAUGAUUGGGGUUAAGUCGUAACAAGGUAUCCCUACCGGAAGGUGGGGAUGGAUCACCUCCUUUCUAAGGAAACCAAUAAAAUCAAUCAUCUUCAGUUUUGAAAGACUUAGGAUAACUAAGUUUUUCUUCGUGACUUCACGAAGGGCCUAUAGCUCAGUUGGUUAGAGCACACGCCUGAUAAGCGUGAGGUCGGUGGUUCAAGUCCAUUUAGGCCCACCAGAGUUAUAGGUGUCGUAAGAACACAAAUUCUUUGAAAAUUAGGUAAAUAAUAGUUAUUUUUCCGGAACAUUAAAGGAAAUAAGAGCGCACAGUGGAUGCCUAGGCACCAAGAGCC
rnacentral:rRNA from 1 species